AAGAAAUAAUAUUUAAUUAAACUAAUUUAUUAUGGCGGCAUUUCAUUAAUUUAGAGGAACUUGUUAAUUAAUCGAUAAUCCACGAUAAUUUUUACUUAAAUUAUAAUUUAUAUACCGCCAUCUUAAGAAUUAAUUUAAAACAUUAUUCUAAAUAAAAUAUAAAAAGUUAGGUCAAGGUAUAAUUUAUAUUAAAGAUAAAAUGAGUUACAUUAAUAUAAAUUUAAGAAUUAAAAAUAAAAAUUUUUAUGAAAAAGAAUUUAACAGUAAUUUUUUAAUAUAAUUUUAAAUAAAUUAAACAUUAAUAUGC
rnacentral:rRNA from 1 species